rnacentral:rRNA from 1 species
UACGAAGGGGCUAGCGUUGUUCGGAUUUACUGGGCGUAAAGCGCACGUAGGCGGAUCGUUAAGUCGGGGGUGAAAUCCUGGAGCUCAACUCCAGAACUGCCUCGAUACUGGCGAUCUUGAGUCCGGGAGGAGGUGAGUGGAACUGCGAGUGUAGAGGUGAAAUUCGUAGAUAUUCGCAAGAACACCAGUGGCGAAGGCGGCUCACUGGCCCGGAACUGACGCUGAGGCGCGAAAGCGUAGGG